CUAAAGGUUCCAUUGUUAUAUCUGGACAGCCUCGUGAUAAAAAUAUGAAAUCAUAUGAAGUAAGUUAUGGGAGGAAAGUUCUUAGUUAUCAAACAAAGUUCAGAAAAUAAAGAUGAUCUCUUUGAAGAAGUAUUUAUGGACUUAUUGAAGGUGAUUAAACCGACAAAAACAUUUAAUAUACAAAAUAUUCUUGAAUUGGAUAAGAAACUUUCGUUAAAAGGAUAUAAUAUGAUACCUGUCUUUUUAUGGCAAUGGACACUAUGAGCACUAUGCUAUGUAAGAAAGGGUAAAACGUUGGUACAAGAAUCGUUAAUAUUAGAGAAUUGUGAAGGUUAUCAAAUCAAUCAGUUUCAAAAAAUAGUUUCAAAUUUAAUAUACCUCAAAUGAAUUUUAAGGGCAGUGUUCAUUUAAUGUUUAUUUCAUUUUGUUUUCUUUUAGUGAAUGUUUGUAAUUUUUAUUCAACUACCUCUAUAACUUAUUACCUCAAACUUUUUAACAUAACAAAAUGAAAUAAAAUGCAUUUAGUAUGUCAAAAUAUUGCAAUUUAUUUUUAAUAAUUAAAAGACUUUUAGAUUUACAUGCUAUUUGUGUAUAAUCACAUUUCAGUUCUGAGUAUCUGAGUAAUAAAAUCUUUUUGAGACCAUCAUAUACAAUAUAUAUGUGUUAACAAUAAUAACUAUAUCUUAUUUGGUUGUUUUUUGUUCAACACAACAUACCUUAAUGUAUAAUGUAAUAAAAUUUAACAGCUGAAUAAUUAAUAACAUGUAUAAUCCAAUAGAACAGUACAAUACAAUAAAGAAAGCUAUACUUAAUUAUAAAAGUACAUCAGUUUUUUGUGUGUUUUCAUAAUAAUAUUAUUCAAAAUGUUUGAAAAUAAGUUUAAUUUAGAUUGUAACUAGUAUUUUCUUUCUUCAGAGGUCACCGAAUGCAUUUUUAGCUAACACAUAACAAUUAUGAAAUACGUAUUGUGCUUUCUAAAAUUUUCAACUCAAUGUUUUGAAACUCAUUUAUGACAUAUUAAGUUGGGACCAAAAGAAAUAAAUACUUUUUAUAUACAUAAUUUUAGACAUAAGCUAAACUAAAACAUGGAGGAAUAUAGGAACAAAAUCAAAACUAAAUUACACGAAUUACUUAUGGGUUGCGUUUUUCUACAACUAUAUUCUCAAAGAAGAAAUAUGAGAUAAUAGUACUUUUAUUUGAUCGUGAUUUGAAUUUGUUUUCAUGUAAUUAUUAUAUAACGUGUGUGUGUGUGUGUGUGUGUGCGUUGCUGCGCGCGUGCGCGCGCGCGCGCGUGUGUGUGUGUGUGUGUGUGUGUGUGUGUGUGUGUGUGUGUGUGUGUGUGAGAGAGAGAGAGAGAGUAUUCAAUAUAAAUAUACAUAAAGUUCAAGAUAAAAACUGAUAUGAAAUGUUACUACUAUAUGCAGAAAAAAUAUUCUCAAUAAAAUCACAUAUGCACCAAAUUAUAAUUGUGCUGAUGAUCACUGCUAAAGUGAGAUCAGGGUGGCAAGUGUGGAUGGAUUGCACAUUAAAAUAAAAUUGUACAUUUAAUGUCAAUUAACUGUUAAAAUCGAUUACAUGUUUUUUAAAGUCUAUAUACAUGUUAAAAGUAAUCAUUGAUGCCCUAAAAGUCUUUUUUCUAUAUUAAUUUUUGGGAAAGGCUUUUAUCUAAUGUUGCUAGGAAUUGUUGCCCAACCCAUAUGCUCAUCAUUUGUAUAAUUUGUAUGAUGUUAAUCUUGACAACUAUAUGACAGAAAAAAAAAAUUCAAUGAAGUCUUCUACCUGUAAACUUUCACAAUUGUAUUUUGAUUUUUGGAAAGAACAUCGAUUUUAAUUCCUAAUUCAAUAUGUUAUGAUGGUACUGGCAUGUCAAAUUAUUGUUAUGGCUGUUUUCAAUUUGAUAAAGUAAUUAAUGUGUAAAAAUGUAUAAAAAUAAAGAUAGAUUUAUG